rnacentral:rRNA from 1 species
AGUGAACGCUGGCGGUAGGCCUAACACAUGCAAGUCGAACGGCAGCACAGUAAGAGCUUGCUCUUACGGGUGGCGAGUGGCGGACGGGUGAGGCAUACAUCGGACCCUACUUUUUCGUGGGGGAUAACGUAGGGAAACUUACGCUAAUACCGCAUACGACCUACCGGUGAAAGCAGGGGAUCUUCGGACCUUGCGCGAUCGAAUGAGCCGAUGUCGGAUUAGCUAGUUGGCGGGGUAAAGGCCCACCAAGGCGACGAUACGUAGCUGGUCUGAGAGGAUGAUCGGCCACACUGGAACUGGGACACGCUCCAGACUCCUACGGGAGGCAGCAGUGGGGAAUGUUGGACAAUGGGCGCAAGCCUGAUCCAGCCAGACCGCGUGGGUGAAGCAGGCCUUCGGGUUGUAAAGCCCUUUUGUUGGGAAAGAAAAGCAGCAGGUUAAUACCCCGCUGUUCUGACGGUACCCGAAGAAUAAGCACCGGCUAACUUCGUG